rnacentral:tRNA from 1 species
GGUGGUUCAGUGGUAGAGUGUUUGCCUUGCAUGCAUGAGGCCCGGGGUUCAAUUCCUCAGCACCA